GAUGAACGCUGGCGGCGUGCUUAACACAUGCAAGUCGAACGAAGCAUCUGCGACAGUUUUUUUCGGAAUGAAGUUGCUUAUGAGUGAGUGACGGACGGGUGAGUAACGUGUGGGUAAGAUGCCUUGUACUGGGGGAUAGCAGCAGGAAACGGCUGGUAAUACCGCAUAAGCGCACAAUGUUGCAUGCCAUGGUGUGAAAAACUCGGGUGGGAUAAGAUGGACGCGCGUCUGUUUAGCGAGUUGGUGAGUUAAAAGCCCACCAAGGCGGCGAGCAGUAGCCGAGCGGGGAGGGUGACCGGCCACAUCGGGGCUGAGACACGGCCCAGAAUCCUACGGGAGGCAGCAGUGGGGAAUAUAGCACAAUGGAGGAAGCUCUGAUGCAGCGACGCCGCGUGAGUGAAGAAGUAAGUCGUUAUCUAAAGCUCUAUCAGCAGAGAAGAUAGUGACGGUACCUGAUGAAGAAGCUCCGGCUAAAUACGUG
rnacentral:rRNA from 1 species